rnacentral:rRNA from 1 species
GACGAACGCUGGCGGCGUGCUUAACACAUGCAAGUCGAACGAAGAGCGAUGGAAGCUUGCUUCUAUCAAUCUUAGUGGCGAACGGGUGAGUAACGCGUAAUCAACCUGCCCUUCAGAGGGGGACAACAGUUGGAAACGACUGCUAAUACCGCAUACGAUCUAAUCUCGGCAUCGAGGAUAGAUGAAAGGUGACCUCUACAUGUAAGCUAUCACUGAAGGAGGGGAUUGCGUCUGAUUAGCUAGUUGGAGGGGUAACGGCCCACCAAGGCGAUGAUCAGUAGCCGGUCUGAGAGGAUGAACGGCCACAUUGGGACUGAGACACGGCCCAGACUCCUACGGGAGGCAGCAGUGGGGAAUCUUCCGCAAUGGACGAAAGUCUGACGGAGCAACGCCGCGUGAGUGAUGACGGCCUUCGGGUUGUAAAGCUCUGUUAAUCGGGACGAAAGGCCUUCUUGCGAAUAGUGAGAAGGAUUGACGGUACCGGAAUAGAAAGCCACGGCUAACUACGUG